UCUUUCUUUGUAACCCAUUAA
rnacentral:piRNA from 1 species